UACGAAGGGGGCUAGCGUUGUUCGGAAUUACUGGGCGUAAAGCGCACGUAGGCGGGUUGUUAAGUCAGGGGUGAAAUCCUGGAGCUCAACUCCAGAACUGCCUUUGAUACUGGCAACCUAGAGACUGGAAGAGGUUAGUGGAAUUCCCAGUGUAGAGGUGAAAUUCGUAGAUAUUGGGAAGAACACCAGUGGCGAAGGCGGCUAACUGGUCCAGUACUGACGCUGAGGUGCGAAAGCGUGGGGAGCAAACAGG
rnacentral:rRNA from 1 species